rnacentral:lncRNA from 1 species
GACAAACAGAAAAACAAUAGUACACACGACACAACAUAGAAAACUAAAGAAUAAACAACACGAACCCCACCAAAAACUAGGGGUGAUCUCAGGUGCUCCGGAAGGGUAAGCAGAUCCUGCUCCACAUGUGGCACCCGUCGUGUUGCUUAUGCGAUUACCAAUCCGGUAAAUAGUCUAAUUCGGUAGGUCAUAUUCAUGAAAGGGAAGGGGA